rnacentral:rRNA from 1 species
AUCGGAAUUACUGGGCGUAAAGCGUGCGUCAGGCGGUCGUGCAAGACAGAUGUGAAAUCCCCGGGCUCAACCUGGGAACUGCAUUUGUGACUGCACGACUAGAGUACGGCAGAGGGGGGUAGAAUUCCACGUGUAGCAGUGAAAUGCGUAGAGAUGUGGAGGAAUACCGAUGGCGAAGGCAGCCCCCUGGGCCGAUACUGACGCUCAUGCACGAAAGCGUGGGGAGCAAACAGGAUUAGAUACCCUGGUAGUCCACGCCCUAAACGAUGUCAACUAGUUGUUGGUAGGGUUAAACCUAUUAGUAACGUAGCUAACGCGUGAAGUUGACCGCCUGGGGAGUACGGUCGCAAGAUUAUUAACUCAAAUGAAUUGACG